rnacentral:rRNA from 1 species
CACGUAGGCGGCCUGGUAAGUCAGAUCGUGAAAGCCCGGGGCUUAACCCCGGAAGUGCAUUUGAUACUGUCAGGCUUGAGUAUGGGAGAGGGAAGUGGAAUUCCUGGUGUAGAGGUGAAAUUCGUAGAUAUCAGGAGGAACACCGGUGGCGAAGGCGACUUCCUGGACCAAUACUGACGCUGAGGUGCGAAAGCGUGGGUAGCGAACA